rnacentral:lncRNA from 1 species
AUGGGUGAUCAGCAGUUCAAUGCUGACUCUACCUCCUACCCCUGUUUUAUCUAACAGUACAGAUGUAAGCUGUCUUCUUUAGCAGAAGAGAGAACUUUGGGUGAAUAGGCAAGUGCCUCAGGUGAGGUGAACUGAGUGCUCUGUGCAUGGAACUAAUGUUAAAUGUCAUGGGGAUCCUGUACAUGGACUAAAUGCUGUGGGCCACUAGGCAGUGAUACAAGCUGCCCGGAGGAGCGUGCAACCUUUUGCCAUUCAUGGAAGCAUAAAGCUUUGAACAAUCAUGUCUGAACCUACAGCUGAUUGUGCUUUGAGCAUGUGCUUAGACUGGGAAUCUCCUGAGGUCCUUUCCAUCCUCAGUUAUUCUUUUAUUCUUGGGAAUAACACAUACAUGGCUGACAUAUAAAAUAGGCAUAAACAUAAUGAUGAACACACCUUUUAUGUAGAAUUAUUAAGAUAAAAGUCUUUUUUUUUUUUUUUCCUACUUGUUGUUAUGGUUGUUUUUUAAGGGUUUUUUUCUUUCUUAUUUAUUACUUUUAUUUAUU